rnacentral:rRNA from 1 species
UACGUAGGGUGCAAGCGUUAAUCGGAAUACUGGGCGUAAAGCGUGCGCAGGCGGCUUUGCAAGACAGAUGUGAAAUCCCCGGGCUCAACCUGGGAACUGCAUUUGUGACUGCAUGGCUAGAGUACGGUAGAGGGGGAUGGAAUUCCGCGUGUAGCAGUGAAAUGCGUAGAUAUGCGGAGGAACACCGAUGGCGAAGGCAAUCCCCUGGGCCUGUACUGACGCUCAUGCACGAAAGCGUGGGGAGCAAACAGG